GUAGGUGGCAAGCGUUGUCCGGAAUUAUUGGGCGUAAAGCGCGCGCAGGCGGUCCUUUAAGUCUGAUGUGAAAGCCCACGGCUCAACCGUGGAGGGUCAUUGGAAACUGGGGGACUUGAGUACAGAAGAGGAAAGCGGAAUUCCAAGUGUAGCGGUGAAAUGCGUAGAGAUUUGGAGGAACACCAGUGGCGAAGGCGGCUUUCUGGUCUGUAACCGACGCUGAGGCGCGAAAGCGUGGGGAGCAAACAGGAUUAGAUACCCUGGUAGUCCACGCCGUAAACGAUGAGUGCUAAGUGUUAGGGGGUUUCCCGCCCCCUUAGUGCUGCAGCUAACGCAUUAAGCACUCCGCCUGGGGAGUACGGCCGCAAGGCUG
rnacentral:rRNA from 1 species